rnacentral:rRNA from 1 species
AUUGAACGCUGGCGGCAUGAUUUACACAUGCAAGUCGAACGGUAACAGGCCGCAAGGUGCUGACGAGUGGCGAACGGGUGAGUAAUGCAUCGGAACGUGCCCAGUCGUGGGGGAUAACUACUCGAAAGAGUAGCUAAUACCGCAUACGAUCUAUGGAUGAAAGCGGGGGACCGUAAGGCCUCGCGCGAUUGGAUCGGCCGAUGUCAGAUUAGGUAGUUGGUGGGGUAAAGGCUCACCAAGCCAACGAUCUGUAGCUGGUCUGAGAGGACGACCAGCCACACGGGGACUGAGACACGGCCCAGACUCCUACGGGAGGCAGCAGUGGGGAAUUUUGGACAAUGGGCGCAAGCCUGAUCCAGCAAUGCCGCGUGCAGGAAGAAGGCCUUCGGGUUGUAAACUGCUUUUGUACGGAACGAAACGGCUCUGGUUAAUACCCGGGGCUAAUGACGGUACCGUAAGAAUAAGCACCGGCUAACUACGUG